AACGAACGCUGGCGGCAUGCCUAACACAUGCAAGUCGAACGAGACCUUCGGGACUAUUGGCGCACGGGUGCGUCACGCGUGGGAACCUGCACUUAGGUUCGGAAUAACUCCCCGAAAGGGGUGCUAAUACCGGAUAAUGUCUUCGGACCAAAGAUUUAUCGCCUUUGGAUGGGCCAGGGUUGGAUUCGCUUGUUGGUAAGGUAAAAGCCUACCCAGGCCAGGAUGCAUAGCUGGCCUCAGAGGGUGCUCAGCCACCCUGUGACUGAGACACGGCCCACACUCCUGGGGGAGGCAGCGGCACAGACUCUUCCGCGAGGCACCAGUGGGUGAUAGUGGACCACGGGGGAAGUGCUGAUCCACUACUGCCGCGUGAGCUAUGUAGGUCGUAGGGUUGUAAAGCGCUUUUAACCGUGAUGAUAAUGACAGUACCGGGAGAAUAAGCCCCGGCUAACUCCGUG
rnacentral:rRNA from 1 species